GUGACUUUGAUCUUCCAAGUUGCUUCAUUUUCUCUGUCUUUUCUUCUUUCAUCCAGAAAACAAUUAAAGCAACAACAAAAUGCAACAGGAGUCAGCUGAAGUACAUGCCUAUUCUGUCUGCAUUGCUGCCAUUGCCAAGAGAAACCUUGGGAUUACUGCCUGGACAAUAAUGAUAUCUUGAAAGACAUGAGCUGCAGCUUUCAUCUCCUGCAGCAGCGUGUAUCGAUCAGAAGCAGCUUCAGAUACGCCAUGUUACAAUGAGCAUUAGGAGGAAACCAGUGGGACGUACAACAAAAAAUUCUGAAGCAUAUUCCACAGAAGUGCAGCUCCUGCUCAGGGCUCCAGCCGACCCUGCGGCCCACUCCGUUUCCCACCCAGCCCCAUCCAGUCUUCUAUCUGGCACUUCACGUUCCCUGGCUAAUAAACAUGGGCAGUCCUUAUUGGGAAACUCUGGGAAACAGGUGAUCCCUUAUAGCUUGUAUAAUUAUGUUUUUGUGCUUCUGUGCUUGGGAUUCCCUCACGCAUGACCAUUUUUCUCUCCUGUUUCUUAGGAGCCCCUUUUUGGCUUCAAUCCAGUCCAUUCUUGCCACCUGGAUUUGUUAUUAGAAGGAAUGAUGUUUGCCUCUCAGAGCCUCUUUCCUUGUUCUCCUAACAUUAUCAACAAUGGAUAUAGCUGAAACCCAAUAUAAAAGGCAUGCGUUCUCCAUCAUUUUUUAAAAUUCGUGUUUUGUUAAAAUAUACCCCAUGUUAUAUAACAAAGUACUCCAAGGUGGCUCAUUUAAAAAUGCUGCAAUCCUAUAUUUACCCAAAAUUAAGUUGCAAUAACCACAAUAUGAUUUACUUAAACAUGCAAUGACUUACACUGUUAAAAAUGAAAGUUAAAAUACUUCAGCUAAAAAGCAGCAAUAAAACAACAAAGAUUGCUUCCCAG